UCCCAGGUGUCUUGGUGGUAAAGAAUCUGUCUGCAAUGCAGGAGACCCAGGUUUGAUCCCUGGGUUAGAAA
rfam:TPA: Bos taurus chromosome 20, whole genome shotgun sequence.